UAGGGAAUCUUCGGCAAUGGACGGAAGUCUGACCGAGCAACGCCGCGUGAGUGAAGAAGGUUUUCGGAUCGUAAAGCUCUGUUGUAAGAGAAGAACGAGUGUGAGAGUGGAAAGUUCACACUGUGACGGUAUCUUACCAGAAAGGGACGGCUAACUACGUGCCAGCAGCCGCGGUAAUACGUAGGUCCCGAGCGUUGUCCGGAUUUAUUGGGCGUAAAGCGAGCGCAGGCGGUUAGAUAAGUCUGAAGUUAAAGGCUGUGGCUUAACCAUAGUACGCUUUGGAAACUGUUUAACUUGAGUGCAAGAGGGGAGAGUGGAAUUCCAUGUGUAGCGGUGAAAUGCGUAGAUAUAUGGAGGAACACCGGUGGCGAAAGCGGCUCUCUGGCUUGUAACUGACGCUGAGGCUCGAAAGCGUGGGGAGCAAACAGGAUUAGAUACCCCGGUAGUCCUAGCUGUAAACGAUGGAUACUAGGUGUUGGAGGUUUUAACCCCUCCGGUGCCGCAGCUAACGCAUUAAGUAUCCCGCCUGGGGAGUACGGCCGCAAGGCUA
rnacentral:rRNA from 1 species